AUGGAGCCGGCGGUACUAGGACAAACUCAACGAUUCCAGCUUAAUUGUGAUGGUGCCAUAUCAACACUGGGUGAGAAGGGAGCGGCUGCUGUGGUAUGCCGAGAUAAAUCAGGGAAGUUUCUUGGAGCAUCAGCACUAGUUUUUGAUGGCUUGAUCGAUCCGGCGAGCUUGGAGGCACAUGCGUGCAAUGAGGCCCUCGCCCUUGCUCGCGAUUUGAACUUGCAGGAGUUGGUGAUUGCAUCAGAUUGUUUAGAAGUGGUCUCCAACUUGAAACAACAAGCUUUACCAGUGUAUGCGUCGGUUCUGCAGGAUAUACACAUUAGCAAGAACCUUUUUACUUCAGUUAUUUUUCGCUUUGAACGUAGAGAAAAUAAUUUCGAGGCCCACUCGGUUGCAAAAGGAGCUGCGUCUCUGCCGGUGGGCCCCCAUGUGUGGCUAGGGAUCCUUCCUGACAUUGCAUGUAUUCCGGAUUUUGAUGAGCUUUGA
rnacentral:rRNA from 1 species